rnacentral:rRNA from 1 species
UACGUAGGGUGCAAGCGUUGUCCGGAAUUAUUGGGCGUAAAGAGCUCGUAGGCGGUCUGUCGCGUCUGCUGUGAAAACCCGGGGCUCAACCUCGGGCCUGCAGUCGAUACGGGCAGACUAGAGUGCGGUAGGGGAGACUGGAAUUCCUGGUGUAGCGGUGAAAUGCGCAGAUAUCAGGAGGAACACCGGUGGCGAAGGCGGGUCUCUGGGCCGUAACUGACGCUGAGGAGCGAAAGCGUGGGGAGCGAACAGG